GUGGGGAAUAUUGGACAAUGGGGGAAACCCUGAUCCAGCGAUGCCGCGUGAAUGAAGAAGGCCUUAGGGUUGUAAAGUUCUUUCACCUGUGACGAUGAUGACGGUAACAGGAGAAGAAGCCCCGGCUAACUCCGUGCCAGCAGCCGCGGUAAGACGGAGGGGGCUAGCGUUGUUCGGAAUGACUGGGCGUAAAGGGCGCGUAGGCGGCUUAUCAAGUCAGGUGUGAAAGCCUUGGGCUUAACCCAAGAACUGCGCUUGAUACUGAUAAGCUUGAGGAUGAUAGAGGAAAGCGGAAUUCCUAGUGUAGAGGUGAAAUUCGUAGAUAUUCGGAAGAACACCAGUGGCGAAGGCGACUCACUGGCCCAAUACUGACGCUGAGGCGCGAAAGCGUGGGGAGCAAACAGGAUUAGAAACCCUGGUAGUCC
rnacentral:rRNA from 1 species